AAACUGAAGAGUUUGAUCAUGGCUCAGAUUGAACGCUGGCGGAAUGCUUUACACAUGCAAGUCGAACGGCAGCACGGACUUCGGUCUGGUGGCGAGUGGCGAACGGGUGAGUAAUAUAUCGGAACGUAUCCAAUAAUGGGGGAUAACUAAUCGAAAGGUU
rnacentral:rRNA from 1 species